rnacentral:rRNA from 1 species
AGGCGCGCAAAUUACCCACUCCCGGCACGGGGAGGUAGUGACGAAAAAUAACGAUACGGGACUCAUCCGAGGCCCCGUAAUCGGAAUGAGAACAAUUUAAAUCCUUUAACGAGGAUCAAUUGGAGGGCAAGUCUGGUGCCAGCAGCCGCGGUAAUUCCAGCUCCAAUAGCGUAUAUUAAAGUUGUUGCGGUUAAAAAGCUCGUAGUCGAAUCUGUGUCCCGCGCCGCCGGUUCGUCGCUCGCGGCGUUUAACUGGCGUGUCCGCGGGACGUCCUGCCGGUGGGCUUAGCCUUUUUAUUAAGGCGGCCCAAUCUUAAUCCCGCCGCGGUGCUCUUCACCGAGUGUCGAGGCGGGCCGGCACGUUUACUUUGAACAAAUUAGAGUGCUUAAAGCAGGCUAAAACUUCGCCUGAAUACUUCGUGCAUGGAAUAAUGGAAUAGGACCUCGGUUCUAUUUUGUUGGUUUUCGGAACCCCGAGGUAAUGAUUAAUAGGAACGGAUGGGGGCAUUCGUAUUGCGACGUUAGAGGUGAAAUUCUUGGAUCGUCGCAAGACGGACAGAAGCGAAAGCAUUUGCCAAAAACGUUUUCAUUGAUCAAGAACGAAAGUUAGAGGUUCGAAGGCGAUCAGAUACCGCCCUAGUUCUAACCAUAAACGAUGCCAGCUAGCGAUCCGCCGACGUUCCUCCGAUGACUCGGCGGGCAGCUUCCGGGAAACCAAAGCUUUUGGGUUCCGGGGGAAGUAUGGUUGCAAAGCUGAAACUUAAAGGAAUUGACGGAAGGGCACCACCAGGAGUGGAGCCUGCGGCUUAAUUUGACUCAACACGGGAAACCUCACCAGGCCCGGACACCGGAAGGAUUGACAGAUUGAGAGCUCUUUCUUGAUUCGGUGGGUGGUGGUGCAUGGCCGUUCUUAGUUGGUGGAGCGAUUUGUCUGGUUAAUUCCGAUAACGAACGAGACUCUGGCCUGCUAACUAGGCGUAUUUCCGACAUCUCGAAGGCCCGCCGGCCUGGUGUGCUCGUCACGCCUUGUCGUGCGCGGUUUUUACUGUCGGCGUACAAACAAUUCUUCUUAGAGGGACAGGCGGCGUCUAGCCGCACGAGAUAGAGCAAUAACAGGUCUGUGAUGCCCUUAGAUGUUCUGGGCCGCACGCGCGCUACACUGAAGGAAUCAGCGUGUCCUCCCUGGCCGAGCGGCCCGGGUAACCCGCUGAACCUCCUUCGUGCUAGGGAUUGGGGCUUGAAAUUGUUCCCCAUGAACGAGGAAUUCCCAGUAAGCGCGAGUCAUAAGCUCGCGUUGAUUACGUCCCUGCCCUUUGUACACACCGCCCGUCGCUACUACCGAUUGAAUGAUUUAGUGAGGUCUUCGGACCGGCACGCGGUGGCGUUUCGACGUCGCCGAUGCUGCUGGAAAGAUGACCAAACUUGAUCAUUU